rnacentral:rRNA from 1 species
UACGGAGGGGGCUAGCGUUGUCCGAAGUUACUGGGCGUAAAGCGCGCGUAGGCGGGUUGGUAAGUCCGCUGUGAAGGCCCGGAGCUCAACUCCGGAGGGUCGGUGGAUACUGCCAGUCUUGAAGGUGCUAGGGGGAGAUGGAAUUACCGGUGUAGCGGUGAAAUGCGUAGAUAUCGGUAGGAACACCAGUGGCGAAGGCGGUCUCCUGGGGCAUUCUUGACGCUGAGGCGCGAAAGCUGGGGGAGCGAACGGG